rnacentral:rRNA from 1 species
UAUCAGAGGCACUGCCUGCCCAGUGACAUGCGUUUAACGGCCGCGGUAUUCUGACCGUGCAAAGGUAGCAUAAUCAUUUGUUCCUUAAUUAGGGACUAGUAUGAAAGGCUUGACGAGGGUUUUACUGUCUCUUGUUUCCAAUCAGUGAAAUUGACCUUCCCGUGAAGAGGCGGGGAUAAUAAUAUAAGACGAGAAGACCCUGUGGAGCUUAAAUUACUGGCCCAACUAUAUCCAAUUAACCCCUCAGGGCCAACAUAUAAUAAACUGGGCUAAAAAUUUCGGUUGGGGUGACCUCGGAGUAAAAGAAAUCCUCCGAAUGAUUUAUAACCAGACCUAACAAGUCAAGUUAGUAACUCAUCAUCAAUUGAUCCAAGAAAUUGAUCAACGGAACAAGUUACCCCAGGGAUAACAGCGCAAUCCUAUUUUAGAGUUCAUAUCGACAAUAGGGUUUACGACCUCGAUGUUGGAUCAGGACAUCCAAAUGGCGC